ACUCGAUAUAAUAUUAUAUUAUGUAAGUGUACUUCGUAGGCAUUGUAACCGCACUGUGUGUUAUCGAAUGUCACACUGAGUUUCGGAUUAGGCCCGUUUUACGCUGACGAACGAAACGGACAUUUUGUUCCGGAUACGAUAAAUUCAACUAAAAACGGUUUAUACAAUCGUAUAAAGAUUAAAGACAACAUCACAAAAAUUAAAUUCGUCACUUAAUCUGCCCGAAACUUCAGGUUCUUAAAUAACGUGAUUUUAAUCAAAAAGAUAAAAAAAAGUUAGGGAGAGGUGUGCCACUAUU